ensembl:lncRNA
AGAACUGUCUGUUUAGAUCUUCUGCCCAUUUUUUGAUGGGGUUGUUUGUUUUUUGGUAAGGAGCUUCAGAAGGUGUUUAUAAAUUUUGGAGAUGAAUCCCUUGUCAGUCAAUUCACUUGCAGAGAUUUUCUCCCAUUCUGUGGGUUGUCUUUUUGUGUUGUUUAGGGUUUCCAUUGCUGUGCAUAAACUUUGAAGUUUGAGUAGGUCCCAUUUGUUUAUUUUUCUUUUAAUUGUCAAUACUCAGGUGGAUCUGAGAAGAUAUUGCUGUCAUUUAAGUCAGAGAGUGUUUGGCCUAUGUUUUCCUCUAAGAGUUUUAUAGUGUCUGGUCUUAUAUCUAGGUCUUUAAUCCAUUGUGAGUUUAUUUUUGUGUAUGGUGUUAGGGAGUGUUCUAAUUUCAUUCUUUUCCAUGUGGCUGUCCAGUUUUCCCAGCACCACUUAUUGAACAGGCUGUCCUUUCUCCAUUGUAUAUUCUUGCCUCCUUUGUCAUGGAUGAGUUGGGUGUAGGUGCGUGGGUUUAAUUUUGGGCUUUCUAUCCUGUUCCACUGAUCUAUAUUUCUGUCUUUGUGCCAGUUCCAUGCAGUUUUGACGACUGUUGCUUUGUAGUAUAGUCUGAAGGCCAGGAGCCUGAUGCCUCCAGCUCCCUUUUUCUUUUUCAGGAUAGCAUUGGCUAUUCUGGUCCUUUAUGCUUCCAAACAAACUUUAAAAUAUUUUGUUCAAGUUCUGUGAAAAAUGUCCUUGGUAAUUUGAUAGGGAUUGCAUUGAAUCUCUAGAUUGCCUUAGGUAGUAUAGUCAUUCUGAUAAUAUUAACUCUUCCAAUCCACAAGCAUGGCAUAUCUUUCCAUCUAUUUGUGUCAUCUUUGAUUUAUUUCAUCAGUGGCUUGUAGUUUUCAGAGUAUAGGUCUUUUGUCUCUUUUGGUGGGUUUACUCCUAGGUAUUUUAUUCUUUUGGAUGUGAUGGUCAAUGGGAUUGCUUCCCUAAUUUCCUUUUCUGCUUUUUCAUUGUUAGAAUAUAGAAAUGCUGUCGAUUUCUGUGUAUUGAUUUUGUAUCCUGCAACUUUGCCAAAUUCGUGGAUGAGAUCUAACUGUUUACUGGUAGAGUCUUUAGGAUUCUCUAGGUAUAGUAUCAUGUCAUCUGCAAAUAGUGAUAGUUUUACUUCUUCCUUUCCAAUUUGGAUUCCUUUUAUUUCUUUUACUUCUCUGAUUGCUGUGGCUAGGACUUCCCUUCCAGAACUAUGUUGAAGAGUAGUGGUGAGAACAGACAUCCUUUCUUGUUCCUGAUCUCAAAGGAAUUCUUUCAGCUUUUCACCAUUGAGAAUGAUGUUUGCUGUGGGUUUGUCAUAUAUGGCCUUUAUCAUGUUGAGGUAGGUUCCUUCUAUGCCCACUUUCUGAAGGGUUUUUAUCAGAAAUGGGUGUUAGAUUUUGUCAAAGGCUUUUUCCACAUCAGUUUGUUAAUGUGGUGUAUCACACUGAUGGAUUUGUGGAUAUUGAAGAACACUUGCAUCUCUGGGAUAAAUCCCACUUGAUCAUAACGUAUAAUCCUUUUAAUGUAUUGUUGGAUGCAGUUUGCUAGUAUUUUGUUGAGGAUUUUUCCAUCUAUGUUCAUCAGUGUAAUUUGCCUUUAGUUUUCUUUUUUUGUGGAGUCUUUGUCUGGUUUGGGGGCCAGGGUGAUGGUGGCCUCAUAGAAUGAGUUUGGGAGUGUCUCUUCCUCUGCAAUUUUUUGGAAUAGUUUCAGAAGGAUAUGUGUUAGCUCUUCUCUAAAUGUUUGAUAGAAUUUGCCUGUGAAGCCAUUGUUGGAAGUUUUUUAAUCACAGUUUCAAUUUCGGUUCUUGUGAUUGGUCCAUUCAUCUUUUCUAUUUCAUCUUGGUUUAGUCUAGAAAGAUUGUACUAUUCUAAGAAUUUGUCCAUUUCUUCUAAGUUUUCUGUUUUAUUUGCAUAUAGUUGCAUAUAGCAUUCUCUUAUGAUCCUUUGUAUUCUGUGAUGUCCGUUGUUACUUCCCCUUUUUCAUUUCCUAUUUUAUUGAUUUGAGUCCUCUCUCUUUUUUGCUUGAUAAGUCUGGCUAGGGGGUUAUCAAUUUGUUGAUUUUUGCAAAGAACCAGCUUUUCAUUUCAUUGAUCUUUUCUAUGGUUUUCUUUGUUUCUAUUUCAUUGAUUUCUGCUCUGAUCUUUAUUAUUUCUUUCCUUCUACUAACUUUAGGUCUUUUCUGUUCUCUCUUGAGCUGCUUUAGAUAUAAAGUUAGCUUGUUUAUUUUGAGCUUUUUCUUUUUUCCUGAGGUGGGCUUGUAUUGCUAUAAACUUUCCUCUUAGAAUGGCUUUUGCUGCAUCCCAUAGGUUUUGGAGUGUCAUAUAUUCGUUGUCAUUUGCUUCUAGGUACUUUUUAAUUUCCUCUUUGAUUUCUUCAGUGAUC